GCUAAAUUCAGCCAGGUGUAUCUGAAAAAUCCCAGCUUUAUCCACUAUCUUAGUUUUGUGAAACAGCCCUCUGCUCAUAUGAACUUGUUUCACUUAUGAGUCACUGGGUGGAUUGUUUUCUGUCAAACUGACCCCAAAGAUGAGCAGAGUGGCAUGUCACAGCAGUCUGAGGUGAGGAGGUGUGACAAACACUUGUGUGCACGUGUAAGCUGAUGAAGGCUAUCACUCAGAAGCCAGGUUUGGUUGUCCGGACGAGGCCGCUGUCAGCCUGCCAGCACACCUGGGGUUUCUGAUGGGCCAGCCCGGAUUCCUCCUUGUUCGUCCUCCCCUGGUCCCCCGUCCCUGCUGCUGUUUCCUCCUCCUGUUUGUCUCGAGGACGUGGGAGGAGAACGAUGGGACUCCUGCUUUGUGUUCUGGGU